rnacentral:rRNA from 1 species
GACGAACGCUGGCGGCGUGCUUAACACAUGCAAGUCGAGCGGGGUCCAACCGGUAGCAAUACCGGGGAAGACCUAGCGGCGAACGGGUGAGUAACACGUGAGCAACCUGCCCCGAAGUCUGGGAUAACACUGGGAAACCGGUGCUAAUACCGGAUGCCCUCAUCGAGUCACCUGGCUUGAUGAGGAAAGAUUUAUCGCUUCGGGAGGGGCUCGCGACCUAUCAGCUUGUUGGCGGGGUAACGGCCCACCAAGGCUUCGACGGGUAGCUGGUCUGAGAGGACGACCAGCCACACUGGGACUGAGACACGGCCCAGACUCCUACGGGAGGCAGCAGUGGGGAAUCUUGCGCAAUGGGCGAAAGCCUGACGCAGC